rnacentral:rRNA from 1 species
GACGAACGCUGGCGGCGCGCUUAACACAUGCAAGUCGAGCGAGAACCCAGGCUUCGGCCUGGGGGAAAGCGGCGAACGGGUGAGUAACACGUGAGUGAUCUGCCCUCGACACCGGGAUAGCCCGGGGAAACCCGGAUUAAUACCGGAUGGCCUCUCGAGCCCACGGGCUCGUGAGAAAAGAUGGCUUCGGCUUUCGGUCGGGGAGGAGCUUGCGGCGGAUUAGCUUGUUGGUGGGGUAACGGCUCACCAAGGCGACGAUCCGUAGCUGGUCUGAGAGGACGAUCAGCCACACUGGGACUGAGACACGGCCCAGACUCCUACGGGAGGCAGCAGUGGGGAAUCUUGCGCAAUGGGCGAAAGCCUGACGCAGCGACGCCGCGUGAGGGAAGAAGGCCUUCGGGUUGUAAACCUCUUUCAGGAGGGACGAAGCUACUCGGGUUAAUAGCCCAGAGGGUGACGGUACCUCCAGAAGAAGCCCCGGCUAACUACGUGCCAGCCGCCGCAGUAAAAC